AUAAUCAUGGAGUAUAAUAAUUAAAUUUAAUAAAUUUAAUAUAACUAUUAAUAGAAUUAGGUUACUAAUAAAUUAAUAACAAUUAAUUUUAAAACCUAAGGGUAAACCUUUAUAUUAAUAAUGUUAUUUUUUAUUAUAUUUAUAAUAAGAAUAAUUAUUAAUAAUAAUAAACUAAGUGAACUGAAACAUCUAAGUAACUUAAGGAUAAGAAAUCAACAGAGAUAUUAUGAGUAUUGGUGAGAGAAAAUAAUAAAGGUCUAAUAAGUAUUAUGUGAAAAAAAUGUAAGAAAAUAGGAUAACAAAUUCUAAGACUAAAUACUAUUAAUAAGUAUAGUAAGUACCGUAAGGGAAAGUAUGAAAAUGAUUAUUUUAUAAGCAAUCAUGAAUAUAUUAUAUUAUAUUAAUGAUGUACCUUUUGUAUAAUGGGUCAGCAAGUAAUUAAUAUUAGUAAAACAAUAAGUUAUAAAUAAAUAGAAUAAUAUAUAUAUAUAAAAAAAUAUAUUAAAAUAUUUAAUUAAUAUUAAUUGACCCGAAAGCAAACGAUCUAACUAUGAUAAGAUGGAUAAACGAUCGAACAGGUUGAUGUUGCAAUAUCAUCUGAUUAAUUGUGGUUAGUAGUGAAAGACAAAUCUGGUUUGCAGAUAGCUGGUUUUCUAUGAAAUAUAUGUAAGUAUAGCCUUUAUAAAUAAUAAUUAUUAUAUAAUAUUAUAUUAAUAUUAUAUAAAGAAUGGUACAGCAAUUAAUAUAUAUUAGGGAACUAUUAAAGUUUUAUUAAUAAUAUUAAAUCUCGAAAUAUUUAAUUAUAUAUAAUAAAGAGUCAGAUUAUGUGCGAUAAGGUAAAUAAUCUAAAGGGAAACAGCCCAGAUUAAGAUAUAAAGUUCCUAAUAAAUAAUAAGUGAAAUAAAUAUUAAAAUAUUAUAAUAUAAUCAGUUAAUGGGUUUGACAAUAACCAUUUUUUAAUGAACAUGUAACAAUGCACUGAUUUAUAAUAAAUAAAAAAAAUAAUAUUUAAAAUCAAAUAUAUAUAUAUAUAUUUGUUAAUAGAUAAUAUACGGAUCUUAAUAAUAAGAAUUAUUUAAUUCCUAAUAUGGAAUAUUAUAUUUUUAUAAUAAAAAUAUAAAUACUGAAUAUCUAAAUAUUAUUAUUACUUUUUUUUUAAUAAUAAUAAUAUGGUAAUAGAACAUUUAAUGAUAAUAUAUAUUAGUUAUUAAUUAAUAUAUGUAUUAAUUAAAUAGAGAAUGCUGACAUGAGUAACGAAAAAAAGGUAUAAACCUUUUCACCUAAAACAUAAGGUUUAACUAUAAAAGUACGGCCCCUAAUUAAAUUAAUAAGAAUAUAAAUAUAUUUAAGAUGGGAUAAUCUAUAUUAAUAAAAAUUUAUCUUAAAAUAUAUAUAUUAUUAAUAAUUAUAUUAAUAAUAUAUAUAAUUAUAUUAUAUAUUUUUUUUUAUAUAAUAUAAACUAAUAAAGAUCAGGAAAUAAUUAAUGUAUACCGUAAUGUAGACCGACUCAGGUAUGUAAGUAGAGAAUAUGAAGGUGAAUUAGAUAAUUAAAGGGAAGGAACUCGGCAAAGAUAGCUCAUAAGUUAGUCAAUAAAGAGUAAUAAGAACAAAGUUGUACAACUGUUUACUAAAAACACCGCACUUUGCAGAAACGAUAAGUUUAAGUAUAAGGUGUGAACUCUGCUCCAUGCUUAAUAUAUAAAUAAAAUUAUUUAACGAUAAUUUAAUUAAAUUUAGGUAAAUAGCAGCCUUAUUAUGAGGGUUAUAAUGUAGCGAAAUUCCUUGGCCUAUAAUUGAGGUCCCGCAUGAAUGACGUAAUGAUACAACAACUGUCUCCCCUUUAAGCUAAGUGAAAUUGAAAUCGUAGUGAAGAUGCUAUGUACCUUCAGCAAGACGGAAAGACCCUAUGCAGCUUUACUGUAAUUAGAUAGAUCGAAUUAUUGUUUAUUAUAUUCAGCAUAUUAAGUAAUCCUAUUAUUAGGUAAUCGUUUAGAUAUUAAUGAGAUACUUAUUAUAAUAUAAUGAUAAUUCUAAUCUUAUAAAUAAUUAUUAUUAUUAUUAUUAAUAAUAAUAAUAUGCUUUCAAGCAUAGUGAUAAAACAUAUUUAUAUGAUAAUCACUUUACUUAAUAGAUAUAAUUCUUAAGUAAUAUAUAAUAUAUAUUUUAUAUAUAUUAUAUAUAAUAUAAGAGACAAUCUCUAAUUGGUAGUUUUGAUGGGGCGUCAUUAUCAGCAAAAGUAUCUGAAUAAGUCCAUAAAUAAAUAUAUAAAAUUAUUGAAUAAAAAAAUAAUAUAUAUUAUAUAUAUUAAUUAUAAAUUGAAAUAUGUUUAUAUAAAUUUAUAUUUAUUGAAUAUAUUUUAGUAAUAGAUAAAAAUAUGUACAGUAAAAUUGUAAGGAAAACAAUAAUAACUUUCUUAAAAAAUAAAAAUGGAAAGAAUUAAAUUAAUAUAAUGGUAUAACUGUGCGAUAAUUGUAACACAAACGAGUGAAACAAGUACGUAAGUAUGGCAUAAUGAACAAAUAACACUGAUUGUAAAGGUUAUUGAUAACGAAUAAAAGUUACGCUAGGGAUAACAGGGUAAUAUAACGAAAGAGUAGAUAUUGUAAGUUAUGUUUGCCACCUCGAUGUCGACUCAACAUUUCCUCUUGGUUGUAAAAGCUAAGAAGGGUUUGACUGUUCGUCAAUUAAAAUGUUACGUGAGUUGGGUUAAAUACGAUGUGAAUCAGUAUGGUUCCUAUCUGCUGAAGGAAAUAUUAUCAAAUUAAAUCUCAUUAUUAGUACGCAAGGACCAUAAUGAAUCAACCCAUGGUGUAUCUAUUGAUAAUAAUAUAAUAUAUUUAAUAAAAAUAAUACUUUAUUAAUAUAUUAUCUAUAUUAGUUUAUAUUUUAAUUAUAUAUUAUCAUAGUAGAUAAGCUAAGUUGAUAAUAAAUAAAUAUUGAAUACAUAUUAAAUAUGAAGUUGUUUUAAUAAGAUAAUUAAUCUGAUAAUUUUAUACUAAAAUUAAUAAUUAUAGGUUUUAUAUAUUAUUUAUAAAUAAAUAUAUUAUAAUAAUAAUAAUUAUUAUUAUUAAUAAAAAAUAU
rnacentral:rRNA from 1 species